AUGCCGCCGCCACCGCCGCCAACAGUGCCAUACACACACAACUACGUUGGUGGUGUCCCGUGGCACAACCUGACGGUUGAAUCAUCAUCGCGCGUUCUUCCCUUCGAUCAACAAAAGAAGAGUUAUGUCAUCUCGCGGCUCUACAUGGUGCUCCAAUCGCCAUCAUAG
rnacentral:rRNA from 1 species